AGGCACGAUUUUUCCUAUAUCAUAUGAGCAGCUGUUACUAUCAACUAGUAGUGGUUUAUUGAAGCAAUUGACUGUGUCAUUUAAUGUUCAACUAAAUGAAGCAAAGAAAGAAGCAGAGUCAGUAAAGGAAACAC